GGCUCGGUGGUGGACGGUCCACGCCUACAUACCAUGAUAUUCGGCGACGGUGCUUUAUUAUGCAGGAGGAGCCCGUUCGACCCGGGCCCGAGCCA